rnacentral:piRNA from 1 species
UGUGGAGGAAAGAAUAGAGGGAAAGUCA